GACAGAGGGUGCAAACGUUGUUCGGAAUCACUGGGCGUAAAGCGCGUGUAGGCGGCUAUGUAAGUCGGACGUGAAAUCCCACGGCUCAACCGUGGAAGUGCGCUCGAAACUGUGUAGCUUGAGUCCUGGAGAGGAAGACGGAAUACUUGGUGUAGAGGUGAAAUUCGUAGAUAUCAGGUAGAACACCAGUGGCGAAGGCGGUCUUCUGGACAGUGACUGACGCUGAGACGCGAAAGCGUGGGGAGCAAACAGGAUUAGAAACCCUAGUAGU
rnacentral:rRNA from 1 species